AUGUUUGUUGCUUAUUGCUAACUGUAUGAAAUGCACAGUUUCAUAUCCUAAUCUCCAUCGUGACUUAGCUUGACUGUUUUUGCAAAGUAGUAUGGGGUUUAUAAACAGACAACAGUAAUUAAAUGUUUCCAGAUAUACAGUAAUCGUGACGUUUUCUGCAAAUACUAAAAUGCUUUUAAGGCACUGUAGACGGUAAAGUAGUGCUGGAGCUACAUGUCUAAAUAAGAAGUACGAUAUUACAGAUCCCUGUACAUAAAAGUUAUUUUGGCAAUAUUCUCGCUUCAGUCACAUAAGUAGUAUGGCGGUGGAUAAAAACAUAAAGUACACCAAUUGAAUGAAAUAUGUUCUGGAGAUUUGUUUAUAACUGAUAUAUGUGGGUGUGUCAAAAAUAUAACGUUAAAGUGUAACAUUAAAGAUAUGUUAUAACUAACCUUACAGAAAACUAUUCUAAUUUGAACCCUAGAUUAGAAAUCAAGACUAUUGCAUAAGUACAAACGAAGAAGCACUGCUUUUAGCUUUGUCUAAAUGUUAAUUUCACGGUCAACUAAAUUUCAUAAUUGAAUUCCAACUAUAUCUGUUUUCAUAGGCGGACUAUGUUAUGCUUGACUUCCUAAAUGAGAAUGUAGAGAUAGUGAAUCAUGUGGGAAUCAAAGUGCCCUGCAUUGAAAGAAGGGUUGUUUGAGAACUUUGUCUUGAGUAAAAGUGCUUCUAGCUGUGAUACCUGAGCAUGAACUAUGUAAAGUUUGAGGAGCAGUCAAAGGGAGCCAGCAUAGUGUCAUUUCCCUUUUUCACCACAGAUUCAUAUGAAGGAGAGGGCUACUUUACAGCACUGGAGGAAGGUGACAGUCUGGACUUUGCUGGCAAUGUGAAAAGCAAGUCCAGAAGGGAAGAAAUUCGCUGAAAACUCUGAUUCAUACUUGGAUGAAGGUCUUGAUAAUGAAGAGGUGUUCCUGGGCAGCAUGGACGAAGAUGGUUUUGGUGAUGAGUUCGAAGAUGAUGGAGGAGCAUUGAUGAGGAUGACGAUGAUGAAGGAUUUGUACAGGGUUUACAGGAAUACAAAAUGUGUUGUGGUGUUUUGUUAGAUGUGAAAUUGAUGAAACUCCACAGACCAGUGCCAAGACAAAAACUGACAAAAGAAAGAACUCGGAAGAGCUGGACUUCACAGGGUCUGCUGACACCAGGCAGCUCAAGUGAGAGACUCGGCAAGAUGACUGGCUGUGUGGCAGGGAUGCUAAAACUCUACGGAAAGAGAAGACUAUGCUCAAGAGAAAGAAACCUCUGGGAAAGCUGAAAGCAAGCAACAAGAAAAUAAAACAUGCAUUUCAGAUGGACAGUGCGAGUGGUUUUCAAAGUAUGUUACAUGCAUUUCAGAUGGACAGCGUGAGGGGUUCUCGGUGUUUUGGACCGUGCUUUGUGAUCCUUUUCUUGGAUCCCAUAGACCCCUGCCCACUCACUCGACUUGUAAUAAACUAAAGGGUACAAUUAAGAUCAGCGCCGUGCACAUCCUUCUUUUUAAUUGCCGUUAUUCAAUGAAAUUUCCUUUUUUAUUGUGAAUCUAAUGUGGAGCAGUGGCUAUGUGAGUCCUGUGACCACACUGCUUGACUUGCCAUUCAGUCCUGGCCCUCAAGACAACUGCAGAUUUGGGGGUCUAGGAGAUUGAGGUGUGCGUGUGUGUGUGCGUGUGUGUGUGUGUGUUUGUUUUGUAUAUCUAGUUAACAAAGUCGAUUAUCUGCAGUAAUAUCUAUAUAAGUGUCUAAAUAAUUGAAGCAAGUAAAGUCUUUCAUUUAAGCCCACAAUCGCACCUGGUAACUCAAGGGACUAUACACAAAGUGGCCUCCAUUUCCACAGGUGGUUUAGUAUGCAGUACAUGAUUGGUCACUUUAGAUAGUCCUUCAUACAGGUUUGAAUCUGUUGAAGUGCAAGGGCCAGUUCUUUAUAGAUUCAAGUAGGCUGGUUAGACUGGUCAAGCCAGUUUCACAAAGGGAACUUGGAAGACUGCAAAAAUCAAUGAAGGGGGGGUACAUAGAAUCAGAUGCUGAUAAUGACAAUGAUAAUCCAAACAAGUGAUUUUGCAGGUUGUACAAUGACUGUCGUGGGUCUCAAUGCCAGUUCAGGGGGUUACUUGGG